CCAGCAUGGCAGGCACUGUGCUGAGAGCCGGCAGGGGAGGGAGGGAGGGAGUGAGAGAGAGGACCCGGAGCUCAGCCUGCAGCUCCUCCGGGUCCUCCUCUCGUGAGAUUUGAAGCGUUGCCGCGGUUACCACGGCAACGCUCCAAAUCUCGCGAAAGUGAACUCUAGCCCGGGAGCACGGGUUAGAGUUCACUCUCCCCACUG